rnacentral:RNase_P_RNA from 1 species
GGAGCCGGCCAGACAGUCGCGUCAUGCGCAAGCAUGCCGAGGAAAGUCCGGGCUCCACAGGGCACGGUGCCAGGUAACGCCUGGGCGGCGCGAGCCGACGGAAAGUGCAACAGAAAGAUACCGCCGAUGGCCCUCGCCACCCCGGUGCGGCCCCACACAGGGGGGACAUGACGAUGCGAAGCAUCGGCCAAGUCCCUUCAGGGAAGGCCGCAGCGGGGUGGCGAGGGAUCAGGCAAGGGUGAAAUGGUGCGGUAAGAGCGCACCGCGAGCCUGGCAACAGGCCGGCACGGCAAACCCCACCGGGAGCAAGGCCAAAUAGGGACCUCAUGACGCGGCCCGCGUCGGGUCCGGGUAGGCUGCUCGAGCGCCGCGGUGACGCGUCGCCUAGAGGAAUGACUGUCCACGACAGAACCCGGCUUAUCGGCCGGCUCCGCCA